rnacentral:rRNA from 1 species
CGAAGGGUGCAAGCGUUACUCGGAAUUACUGGGCGUAAAGCGUGCGUAGGUGGUUCGUUAAGUCUGAUGUGAAAGCCCUGGGCUCAACCUGGGAAUGGCAUUGGAUACUGGCGACCUAGAGUGCGGUAGAGGGGUGUGGAAUUCCCGGUGUAGCAGUAAAAUGCGUAGAUAUCGGGAGGAACAUCUGUGGCGAAGGCGACACCCUGGACCAGCACUGACACUGAGGCACGAAAGCGUGGGGAGCAAACAGGAUUAGAUACCCUGGUAGUCCACGCCCUAAACGAUGCGAACUGGAAGUUGGGGGCAACUUGGCCCUCAGUUUCGAAGCUAACGCGUUAAGUUCGCCGCCUGGGAAGUACGGUCGCAAGACUG